rnacentral:rRNA from 1 species
GACGAACGCUGGCGGCGUGCUUAACACAUGCAAGUGGAGCGACGAACCGGGCUUCGGCCCGGGGCAAAGCCGCGAACGGGUGAGUAUCACGUGGGUAACCUGCCCCGAUGACCGGGAUAACCCGAGGAAGCUCGAGCUAAUACCGGAUGUGCUCCCAAUCCAUCAGGGUUGGAAGUAAAGGAAGCUUCGGCCUCCGCAUUGGGAUGGGCCCGCGGCCCAUUAGCUUGUUGGUGAGGUAACGGCUCACCAAGGCCACGAGGGGUAGCUGGCCGGAGAGGCGGAGCAGCCCCACUGGGACUGAGACACGGCCCAGACUCCUACGGGAGGCAGCAGUGGGGAAUCUUGCGCAAUGCGCGAAAGCGUGACGCAGCAACGCCGCGUGAGGGAAGAAGGCCUUCGGGUUGUAAACCUCUUUCAGGAGGGACGAAGGUUCAGGCGCGAAUAGCGUCCUGGACUGACGGUACCUCCAGAAGAAGCCCCGGCUAACUACGUGCCAGCCGCCGCCGUAAAAC